UCCGAUGGUGAUUAUCCUGGGCAAGCGUCUAAAGUACGCCCUGACCUACACCGAGUUCACUAAGUUGUGAUGCACCGACCCGAACUACCCGGGUGGAUCCAAGGAUUAAAUUGCUACUGACAAGACGAGCGAGAACUUCCAUCUGAUCUAAGACGUCAAGCGUUGGGCCCCGUGCACUGUAUCACCGCAGAGAAAGUCAAGUAUCACCAGCAUUGCCAGGUUAAUAGCUUCCAUAUCGGACCGAAAAAUAUGCCGUACCAACCGACCGUUGAUGGACGUGAACCUGUACAAUAUCUCUACCGGAUGUAAUGAACGUGCCCAAGUUCGAACCCGGAAAUACGUCCAUGAUGUCCGGAGGAAGAAAUUUGAAACAUGAGUGCAAAUGGUUUUUUUUUUGUUAAAGAGACUUUCAGCCUUGGGCUGGUUCGUCUCUCAGAAUGCAAAUGGUUUUGUUUUCAAAUUCUCAUAUGAUAUGAGUGGUGCAUGUCGAGUUUGAAUCAAGUAAGAUUUGUACCAUUUCCCUUAGGCCACUCUAAACAUGUCCGUAUGAAUAAUGUGGUCUUAGGCACUCAAUAUGACUGCCAAUGAUUUAAAACUCUCAUGUCAUCUGAUGUGUUGCAUGUUUAAGCAUGGUUGGAAUAAGUUUAUGGUCAGUUCCCAGAGAGUACCCGGAAUAUUUCCAUGUGAUCCAUGUUGUCCUUGUCACUCAUUGGUUUUAUGUUAUUAUUGCUUUGGGAAAUGUUUAAACACUUAUUUGAACCAAAACCCAACAUGUUCCAUUAAAAUGAUACGAGUAUCUUGACAUUAAUUUAUUAUAUCGUAAAAUUGCCAUUCACCGCUCACUGCUUACGUAUUAUCAUUAUUUACAUAGAGAUACGUGAUGUUCACCGACGUGUAAAGUUGUUUAUUAUUUCCCUUUGAGCAACAUAAAAAUGUAUGAAAUUAUAUCUGUCAAAAUGAGUUUGACUGAGAUUUAUUAUGUAUUUUCCUCGGAUUUUCACUAACACGCUCUCAUAUA